rnacentral:rRNA from 1 species
UGGGGGAAUAUUGGACAAUGGGGGGCAACCCUGAUCCAGCAAUGCCGCGUGUGUGAAGAAGGUCUUCGGAUUGUAAAGCACUUUCGACGGGGACGAUGAUGACGGUACCCGUAGAAGAAGCCCCGGCUAACUUCGUGCCAGCAGCCGCGGUAAUACGAAGGGGGCUAGCGUUGCUCGGAAUGACUGGGCGUAAAGGGCGUGUAGGCGGUUUACACAGUCAGAUGUGAAAUCCCCGGGCUUAACCUGGGAGCUGCAUUUGAUACGUGUAGACU